UAGGGAAUAUUAGAAAUGGCCGAAAGUCUGAUCUAGCAACACCGCGUGUGCGAUGAAGGCCUUCGGGUUGUAAAGCACUUUUUGGAAGGAUUAGGAAGGAAUGUACUUCCAGAAUAAGUCUCGGCUAACUACGUGCCAGCAGCCGCGGUAACACGUAGGAGGCGAACGUUAUCCGGAUUUACUGGGCGUAAAGCGCGUGUAGGUGGUUCUGUAAGUAGGGCGUGAAAGCUCCUGGCUCAACUGGGAGAGGCCGUUCUAAACUGCAGAGCUAGAGGAUGGUAGAGGGAGGUGGAAUUCCGGGUGUAGCGGUGGAAUGCGCAGAUAGCCGGAGGAACACCAGUGGCGAAGGCGGCCUCCUGGACCAUUCCUGACACUCAGACGCGAAAGCUAGGGUAGCAAACG
rnacentral:rRNA from 1 species